rnacentral:rRNA from 1 species
GGUAAAAAGAUAGUUAGGCGAGGAAAAGCUGGGCUAUUUAAUGUAAUGUAUAGGGGUAAAAUCCAAGUACGAUUAUUUAAUUUAAAGAUAGCUUAGGAGCUGAAUCUAUGAAAUCCUUGAGGGAAACUGGGAUUAGGUACCCCAUUAUUCUUGGAUGUAAAUAGAUAAAGGUCUACCAGAGUACUAUGAAUAAUGUAAAAUUUAAAACUCAAAGAACUUGGCGGUGUUUUAGACCACCUAGGGGAACCUGUCUCGUAAUCGACAAUCCACGUUGCACCUGACCUUUUUUUGUUUUCAGUUUGUAUACCGUUGUCGUCAGGUAACUUUUUAGAAGAGAGAAGUUGGCUAUAGAAAUAUGGUGAUUUAGUACGUCAAAUCAAGGUGCAGCUAAUAAAAGGGGGAGGAUGGGUUACAGUUAUAUAGUUAUAAU